CUUUCAUUUCCUUUUGGGAGUCAUC
rnacentral:other from 1 species